rnacentral:misc_RNA from 1 species
GAAAUGCGAUAAGUAAUGUGAAUUGCAGAAUUCAGUGAAUCAUCGAAUCUUUGAACGCACAUUGCGCCUAUUAGUAUUCUAGUAGGCAUGCCUGUCCGAGCGUCAUUUCAACCAUCAAGCCCCCGGGCUUGUGUUGGGGACCUGCGGCUGCCCGCAGGCCCUGAAAACCAGUAGCGGGCUCGCUGUCACACCGAGCGUAGUAGCAAUCACCUCGCUCAGGGCGUGCUGCGGGUUCCGGCCGUUAAACAGCCUUACAAAACCCAAGGUUGACCUCGGAUCAGGUAGGAAGACCCGCUGAACUUAAGC